CACGGGGUUGCGAGCGUUGUCCGGAAUUACUAGGCGUAAAGGGCAGGCAGGCGGAUCCAUAAGUUUAUCGUUUAAAGGCGUCGGCUUAACCGGCGUAGGGCGGUAGAUACUGUGGAUCCGGAAUGCGGUUGGGGAAGACAGAAUUCCUGGUGUAGCGGUGGAAUGCGCAGAGAUCAGGAGGAAUACCGAAGGCGAAGGCAGUCUUCCAAGCCGUUAUUGACGCUCAACUGCGAAGGUGUGGGUAUCAAACAGGAUUAGAUACCCUGGUAGUCCCUGAG
rnacentral:rRNA from 1 species